UGGCGGACGGGUGAGUAACGCGUGGGGAACCUGCCCUGUACAGGGGGAUAACACUUAGAAAUAGGUGCUAAUACCGCAUAAGCGCACAGUAUCGCAUGAUACAGUGUGAAAAACUCCGGUGGUGCAAGAUGGACCCGCGUCUGAUUAGCUGGUUGGCGGGGUAAAGGCCCACCAAGGCGACGAUCAGUAGCCGGCCUGAGAGGGUGGACGGCCACAUUGGGACUGAGACACGGCCCAAACUCCUACGGGAGGCAGCAG
rnacentral:rRNA from 1 species